UACAGAGGGUGCGAGCGUUGUUCGGAAUUACUGGGCGUAAAGCGCACGCAGGCGGCUCGAUAAAUUAGAUGUGAAAGCCCCGGGCUUAACCUGGGAAUUGCUUUUAAGACUGUCGGGCUAGAAUCCAGAAGAGGGUAGUGGAAUUCCGAGUGUAGAGGUGAAAUUCGUAGAUAUUCGGAAGAACACCAGUGGCGAAGGCGACUUCCUGGUCUGGCAUUGACGCUCAUGUGCGAAAGCGUGGGGAGCAAACAGG
rnacentral:rRNA from 1 species